rnacentral:rRNA from 1 species
AUGCUAACUGAAGAAGAGAGGCUCUUAAGAGACCUGCUGAAAAAGAAGUUGUUGGGUUUUGCAGCUAUUGAGAGAAUUAGAAUUCGGCAAUGGUCCAGGUUAACUUGGAUUAAGGUUGGGGACGCAAACUCAAAACUUUUCCAGCUCAGGGCGAAUGGGCGCAGACGCAAAAACCACAUCCCCUACUUGCAAGGGCCUGAAGGCUUUGUCUUUGAAAAGCAGCAAAAGGCUCAAAUCCUAUGGGAGCAUUUCAACAAUCUGAUGGGAACUGCUAGGCAGCGUAACUUCAGCUUAAAUUGGGAAUAUCUGCAGCUUCCUUCCUUCAACCUUGAGCAUCUGGAUGCCAUAUUCACCAUGGAGGAGUUAAAAAAGGCGGUUCUAGAAAUGCAUGAUGAGAAGUCCCCUGGCCCGGAUGGUUUUAUUGGAGGUUUUUUCAAGAAGUGUUGGGAGCUCAUUAAAGGAGAUUUGCUGGAGGCCAUCAAUCAAUUUUUUCAUCUCAGAGGGAAAACAUGGAAUCUUUUGAAUAAUGCUUUCAUUGUGCUGCUGCCAAAGAAAGGAAAUGCUGAUCAUGCUGCUGAUUUUAGGCCAAUUAGUCUCAUGCAUAGUGUGGCAAAGAUUCUAUGCAAAAUCUUGGCAAACAGAAUGGCCCCGGAAUUACAACAUAUGAUCUCUGCAAGUCAAACUGCCUUCCUUAAGGGACGUAGCAUUCAAGAUAAUUUUUUGUAUGUCCAGAAUGUCAUAAGACGGGCAUUCACAAAAAAUUCACCGCUCAUCUUCCUCAAAUUGGAUAUCUCUAAGGCCUUUGAUUCUGUGCAUUGGAGCUACAUGUUGGAGGUGCUAAAAGGUUUUGAUUUCGGGCAAAGAUGGACGGACAUGAUUGCUUUGCUGCUCUCGACUUCCUCUUCACGGGUCCUCCUCAACGGCUGUCCAGGUGAACCGUUCCUGCACCGGAGGGGGUUGCGCCAGGGAGACCCGUUGUCGCCGAUGUUAUUCCUUCUUGCAAUGGAACCACUACAAAAAAUGAUCGCCAUGGCAUCGGCUGAUGGUCUUCUCACUCCUUUAAGCCAUCAGGCCACCAGUUUGAGAACCAGCCUGUACGCGGAUGACGCGGCACUUUUUGUCAACCCCAUCAGAGAAGAAAUUGCAGCUACUCAGAGAAUUCUGCUUAGAUUUGGAGAGAUCUCUGGCUUGAUGAACAACCUAGGGAAGUGCAUGGCAUUCAAGAUCCGGUGCAACGAUGAAGAGCAUGGAGAGGUUUUACAGGACUUUGAAGGAAAGGAGGGUUUGUUCCCUUGCCAAUAA